rnacentral:rRNA from 1 species
CACGUAGGCGGCUCGGCAAACCGGUCGUGGAAUCCCGACGCUUACCGUCGGAACGGCGGCCGAAAAUACCGGGCUCGAGGGCGUGAGGGGUCACUGGAACUCCUGGUGAAGCGGUGAAAUACGUAGAUAUCAGGAGGAACGCCGGAGGCGAAAGCGAGUGACUGGCGCGUUCCUGACGCUGAGGUGCGAAAGCUAGGGGAGCAAACA